rnacentral:rRNA from 1 species
CCUACGGGUGGCAGCAGUGGGGAAUAUUGGGCAAUGGGCGCAAGCCUGACCCAGCAACGCCGCGUGAAGGAAGAAGGCUUUCGGGUUGUAAACUUGUUUUGUGAGGGAAGUGUAGAAGACGGUAUCUGACGAAUAAGCCACGGCUAACUACGUGCCAGCAGGCGCGGUUAUACGUAGGGGGCAAGCGUUGUCCGGAUUUACUGGGUGUAAAGGGCGUGUAGCCGGGUUGACAAGUCAGAUGUGAAAUUCUGCGGCUUAACCGCAGAACUGCAUUUGAAACUGUAGACCUUGAGUACUUGCAGGGAUGACCGAAUUCCUGGUGUAGCGGGGAAAUGCGUAGAUAUUAGGAAGAACUCCAAUCGCGAAGGCAAGUGUCCGGGCAGCAACUGACGGUGAGGCGCGAAAGCGUGGGGAGCAAACAGGAUUAGAUACCCCAGUAGUC